CGACCCCACCGAGUUCCGCUUCAAACUCGCCCUCAUCAACCGCAAAUACGACGAGGUCCUGCACAUGGUGAGGAACGCCAAGCUGGUGGGCCAGUCCAUCAUCGCGUACCUGCAGAAGAAGGGCUACCCCGAGGUCGCUCUGCAUUUCGUCAAGGACGAGAAAACGCGCUUCGGGCUGGCGCUGGAGUGCGGCAACAUCGAGAUUGCCCUGGAAGCUGCCAAGGCUCUGGAUGACAAGGGCUGCUGGCAAAAGCUG